rnacentral:other from 1 species
AUCCCCCUGCGCGGUGCGACAGCGGCACUAUAUUUAACCUACAAAGUGAUAAAACGGGAUGGCGGACUUCAGCCCCCGGGUGCAGACCUCCCGUCCCGGGACGGACGUUGGGAGCGCCUAAAAGGGCUGGGAGCCAACCCACCUGCAAUAGCGGGUUAUUAUCAGUUCGCAUCGGCCAGCGCGGGGGGAUU